AUGGGGCUGCCCCACAUCUCGGGCACCGGAACCAAUAAAGUGUUGCUCACAGAGCUGCAAUGCGUGGCUCCCAAUGUUCCCCCCCACCAUGGGGUCUCUAUGGGGUGCUGUGGGUCUCUAUGGGACGCUAUGGGUCUCUAUGGGGAACUAUGGGGUCUCUAUGGGGCACUAUGGGGUCCCUAUGGGGCACUAUGGGUCUCUAUGGGGCACUAUGGGUCUCUAUGGGGCGCUAUGGGGUCUGUAUGGGGUCUCUAUGGGGCACUCUGGGUUUCUAUGGGGUCUCUAUGGGGUCCCUAUGGGGUUCUAUGGGUCUCUAUGGGGUCCCUAUGGGGUCUCUAUGGGGCACUAUGGGUCUCUAUGGGGCACUAUGGCGCACUAUGGGUUUCUAUGGGGUCUCUGUGGGGCUCUAUGGGGUCUCUAUGGGUCUCUAUGGGGGCUCUAUGGGGUCCCUAUGUGGUCUCUAUGGGGUCUCUGUGGGGCCCUAUGGGGCACUCUAGGUUUCUAUGGGGUCCCUAUAGGGUCCCUAUGGGGCAAUAUGGGGCUCUAUGGGGCUCUACAGCGCACUAUGGGUUUCUAUGGGUCUCUAUGGGGUCUCUAUGGGGCACUAUGGGGUCUCUGUGGGGCCCUAUGGGGCACUAUGGGUCUCUAUGGAGCUCUAUGGGGUCCCUAUGGGGUCUCUAUGGGGUCCCUAUGGGGUCUCUAUGGGGUCUCUAUGGGUCCCUAUGGGUCUCUAUGGGUUUCUAUGGGGUCUCUAUGGGGUCUCUAUGGGUCUCUAUGGGUCUCUAUGGGGUCUCUGUGGGGCUCUAUAGGGUCCCUAUGGGGCUCUAUAGGGUCCCUAUGGGGCUCUAUGGGGUCCCUAUGGGGUCUCUAUGGGGUCUCUAUGGGGUCCUAUGGGGUCUCUGUGAGUCCCUAUGGGGUCCCUAUGGGGCACUAUGGGGUCCCUAUAUGUCCCUAUGGGGUCCCCAUGUAACUCCAUGUGUCCCUAUAGGGUCCCCAUAUGUUCUGAUAAACCCCUAUAGGAUUCCUACAUGUCCCUACAGGGUCCCUAUAAGUCACCCUACAUCCCUACAAACCUCUAUGGGGUCCCUAUACAUCGCUAUGGGGUUCCCAUGUGUUCCUAUACGCCCCUAUGAGGUCCCUAUAUGCCACUAUAGGGUCCCUAUAUGUCCCUAUGGGGUCCCUAUAAGUCCCUAUAGGGUCUCUAUAAGUCCCUACAGGUCACCCUACGUCCCUAUAUGUCUCUAUAGGAUCCUUGUAUGUCCCUACAGGUCCCUAUGUGUCCCUAUAAGGAUCCCAUAUGUCCCUAUGGGGUCCCUACAGGUCCCUAUAUGUCCCUAUGGGGUCCCCAUGUAA
rnacentral:lncRNA from 1 species